rnacentral:rRNA from 1 species
AGAGUUUGAUCCUGGCUCAGGACGAACGCUGGCGGCGCGCCUAACACAUGCAAGUCGAACGAGCGAGAGAGAGCUUGCUUUCUCGAGCGAGUGGCGAACGGGUGAGUAACGCGUGAGGAACCUGCCUCAAAGAGGGGGACAACAGUUGGAAACGACUGCUAAUACCGCAUAAGCCCACGGGUCGGCAUCGACCAGAGGGAAAAGGAGCAAUCCGCUUUGAGAUGGCCUCGCGUCCGAUUAGCUAGUUGGUGAGGUAAUGGCCCACCAAGGCGACGAUCGGUAGCCGGACUGAGAGGUUGAACGGCCACAUUGGGACUGAGACACGGCCCAGACUCCUACGGGAGGCAGCAGUGGGGAAUAUUGCACAAUGGGGGAAACCCUGAUGCAGCGACGCCGCGUGGAGGAAGAAGGUCUUCGGAUUGUAAACUCCUGUUGUUGAGGAAGAUAAUGACGGUACUCAACAAGGAAGUGACGGCUAACUACGUGCCAGCAGCCGCGGUAAAACGUAGGUCACAAGCGUUGUCCGGAAUUACUGGGAGUAAAGGGAGCGCAGGCGGGAAGACAAGUUGGAAGUGAAAUCUAUGGGCUCAACCCAUAAACUGCUUUCAAAACUGUUUUUCUUGAGUAGUGCAGAGGUAGGCGGAAUUCCCGGUGUAGCGGUGGAAUGCGUAGAUAUCGGGAGGAACACCAGUGGCGAAGGCGGCCUACUGGGCACCAACUGACGCUGAGGCUCGAAAGUGUGGGUAGCAAACAGGAUUAGAUACCCUGGUAGUCCACACCGUAAACGAUGAUUACUAGGUGUUGGAGGAUUGACCCCUUCAGUGCCGCAGUUAACACAAUAAGUAAUCCACCUGGGGAGUACGACCGCAAGGUUGAAACUCAAAGGAAUUGACGGGGGCCCGCACAAGCAGUGGAGUAUGUGGUUUAAUUCGACGCAACGCGGAGAACCUUACCAAGUCUUGACAUCCCUUGACGAUGCUGGAAACAGUAUUUCUCUUCGGAGCAAGGAGACAGGUGGUGCAUGGUUGUCGUCAGCUCGUGUCGUGAGAUGUUGGGUUAAGUCCCGCAACGAGCGCAACCCUUAUGGUCAGUUACUACGCAAGAGGACUCUGGCCAGACUGCCGUUGACAAAACGGAGGAAGGUGGGGAUGACGUCAAAUCAUCAUGCCCUUUAUGACUUGGGCUACACACGUACUACAAUGGCGUUAAACAAAGAGAAGCAAGACCGCGAGGUGGAGCAAAACUCAGAAACAACGUCCCAGUUCGGACUGCAGGCUGCAACUCGCCUGCACGAAGUCGGAAUUGCUAGUAAUCGCAGAUCAGCAUGCUGCGGUGAAUACGUUCCCGGGCCUUGCACUAACCGCCCGUCA